AGCCGCGGUAACACGUAGGGGGCAAGCGUUGUCCGGAUUUAUUGGGCGUAAAGAGCUCGUAGGCGGUUCGGUAAGUUGGGUGUGAAACCUCCAGGCUCAACCUGGAGACGCCACCCGAUACUGCUGUGACUAGAGUCCGGUAGGGGAGCGUGGAAUUCCUGGUGUAGCGGUGAAAUGCGCAGAUAUCAGGAGGAACACCAGCGGCGAAGGCGGCGCUCUGGGCCGGAACUGACGCUGAGGAGCGAAAGCGUGGGUAGCAAACAGGAUUAGAUACCCUGGUAGUCCACGCCGUAAACGUUGGGCACUAGGUGUGGGGUCUUAUCAACGGAUUCCGUGCCGUAGCUAACGCAUUAAGUGCCCCGCCUGGGGAGUACGGCCGCAAGGCUAAAACUCAAAGGAAUUGACGGGGGCCCGCACAAGCGGCGGAGCAUGUUGCUUAAUUCGAGGCAACGCGAAGAACCUUACCUGGAUUGAACUACGCAGGAAAAGCCACAGAGAUGUGGUGUCCUUCGGGGCCUGUGAUAGGUGGUGCAUGGCC
rnacentral:rRNA from 1 species